rnacentral:rRNA from 1 species
UACGUAGGGCGCAAGCGUUUAUCCGGAAUUAUUGGGCGUAAAGAGCUCGUAGGCGGUUUGUCGCGUCUGCUGUGAAAACCCGAGGCUCAACCUCGGGCCUGCAGUGGGUACGGGCAGACUAGAGUGCGGUAGGGGAGAUUGGAAUUCCUGGUGUAGCGGUGGAAUGCGCAGAUAUCAGGAGGAACACCGAUGGCGAAGGCAGAUCUCUGGGCCGUUACUGACGCUGAGGAGCGAAAGCGUGGGGAGCGAACAGG